UCUAAUUGCCAAAAGGUUGACCUGGAAAUGUUGAGUACAGUGAACUUUUAUACAGUAACAUGUUCUAUAGGGUUAUCAAAGUAAAAGUUGUUUGUUUGCCCUUUGGGCAACUUGGGCAUUUCUCAGAAUUCAACUUUCAAGAUUCUCCAUUCAUUUGUCCUAUAGACAAAAUGAAUGGAGGUCAAUGGGACAUGUUCACGUGGCCUUACCCUGAAUUUUGUGCAGCAGUGAUGGAUGUCGGACACACAUAUAAAGUUUAAUUGACUUUAUUGUUAAACACAAGGGGCGAUACUGACACACUUAAAAGAACAAACCCUCUCUAGUGGCUAACUCACUGGCAACUAACAGGGCCUAAUGGUAAGAGCUGACACUAACUAAACUUGAAACUGAAUUGUCAAUCU